rnacentral:tRNA from 1 species
AGUAGUGCAUUAGGUUUAAAUUCUAAAAAUAAUAAGAAAUUAUUCUAUAUUAA